rnacentral:rRNA from 1 species
UACGGAGGAUCCAAGCGUUAUCCGGAUUUAUUGGGUUUAAAGGGUGCGUAGGCGGAUUGAUAAGUUAGAGGUGAAAUGUCCGAGCUCAACUCGGGAACUGCCUCUAAUACUGUUGAUCUAGAGAGUAGAUGCGGUAGGCGGAAUGUAUGGUGUAGCGGUGAAAUGCUUAGAGAUCACGCAGAACUCCGAUUGCGAAGGCAGCAUACCGGCGCCCGACUGACGCUGAGGCACGAAAGCGUGGGGAUCGAACAGG